rnacentral:rRNA from 1 species
CCCUUAGAUGUUCUGGGCCGCACGCGUGCUACACUGAGUGGAUCAGCGGGUCAGGUUGCGCGAAAGCGUUUCCUAAUCUUUAAAUCCGCUCGUGAUGGGGAUAGAUUAUUGCAAUUAUUAAUCUUCAACGAGGAAUUCCUAGUAAGCGCGAGUCAUCAGCUCGUGCUGAUUACGUCCCUGCCCUUUGUACACACCGCCCGUCGCUCCUACCGAUUGAGUGCUCAGGUGAAUAAUUCGGACUGCAGCAAUGUUUGGAUCCCGAACGUUGCAGCGGAAAGUUUAGUGAACCUUAUCACUUAGAGGAAGGAGAAGUCGUAACA